rnacentral:snoRNA from 1 species
GGGGUGUGAUGAUGCAUAAGAAAGGUUUCGCAUGCUGGACUGAAGUCCUGUGAUGUCACUUCCUCUUGGCUGUCUGACCCU